UUAACUCUGCUGUGCUCAAGACUGCCUGUUCUUGCAAAAAGCCGGUGCUGGUAAAACUGCCUCAGCCAAGGAAAAAGAAUGCGAACUUCCAAGCUAAAAGGAAGAUAAGGGGGGGCCCUUGAACUUUGAAACAAAGACGAGAGCCAAAGCUGAGGCUUCGAGAGAUGGACAGGGUGACCAGAGAGUUCUCUCUCUACAAGGACUGAUAAGAACUAGUUGCAAGUUGUAAUGCAAAACCAGUAAAAUGAAUAUGCAUUAACCUAUUGUGAAACUCUAUGCAUAUGUACAAGUAAGGGGGAUAAAAAAGGUUCAGGAAUUCUCAGGGGUGCAUGUGUCCUUUGGGGGGAAUGAUCCCCACAUGUGUCCAGCAUGGGAAUAAACAUAUCAGCUUUACAACAUUUACAAGUUGUGGAGUUAGUUUUUUUCCACAAAUCAUUUUGGCAAGCCAGCCAUGAGAUUGUCUCUGUCCUCGCAGGGGCCUAGGGGGUGACGGGUCUUCCUAGGCAGGCCCCGGGAUUUUCCCUGGAGGAGCUCCGCUCUGUCUUGGCUUGCCCCCUGUGGAGACAGACAAUGACCUGCUGGUGUGUGGAUAAACAGUAUGUGUGGAAAGGGUUAACAGCGGGUCUGUUAGCUAAAGCAGUGAGAAGAAGCUGAGAAGCAAGAAGAAGCUGAUAAGGAGCUCUCUUCAAGGCUGUCACCAAGGAGACCAAGAGAAGAGAGGAACUGAAGAAAGAUAAGGAGAGAACUUUGCAGUUGGAUGAAGUAUUUUUAGAAAGUUAGUUGAAGUCACCGUUGCUUUUCACCAAUGGUGUUAUGUUGAUUUAUUGUGGCCAAUAGUUGGGGUAGAAGAAGUAUAAACAAUUAAAAAGUGUAUAAAAGGUCAGCCAUUUUCGAUAAUAAAGAGUUGCCAUCUGAGACUGCUUGUGGUCUCUGCUUUGUGUCGUGACCGCAUCGACAAUGACAGAAAAGACUUUGGAACCACAGUGGGAAGGACCAUUCCAGGUGCUUCUCACUACCUUCACCGUGAUCAAGAUCAAGGAGCAGAAUGCCUGGAUCUGCCACUCUCGAGUGAAGAAGGGCCCAGAAGCCCUUUGAAGGGUGACACCAGGAGACAAGGAACUGAGACUAAAACUUACUUGGGCAAAAUGAGUAUAUUGUGGCCAGGGGUAGUUUGUAAUUUCAUUUACAUAAUUUUUUUGUGCAUAAUUAUAACUGGAGUCUUGGAAUUAGAGAGUACCUCUAUCCAAAGUGAUGCUGAAUGGCCUUGGUCCCAGGCUUUUAAUCAGUACACUGGAUCCAUGGGAUAACCUUCUGAGAUAAAAGAUUUAAACCCAUCCACUGUAGUAAUCCACGGGAAUCAGGUAUAUGAGGAGUGGGAGUGGCAGGAACGGGAACUGUGGACACUUCAAGGGAUCAGAGGAGAAGAAAUCAGGGUAGGAUGCUGAGUGGUCAAUGGGACCACUCAUGAGAGACCAAAUCAAAUUAGUGUCUCAGCCUCUCCUGUAUACAGACACCAGGAGGUUUGUGAUAGCCCAAGUCAAUCAGAUUGUUGGUGUAAUUUCACAUUAAUACAGCCUGUAGAAGUGACUUGUCUUUGGGCUCAUGAUGCUAUCGGGCUCUCAUUUAAAUUUAAAAUAGGUGCUAUACCUUUUACAAUGGCAAGACCUCAUACAACUCACACCAGUACUCAAGCAGCUCAGACCCAAACCAAACUUGAACCUGAAGUAUAUGAAAUAGGCCCAUACAUAGUGAGGAAUAUGGGUCUACAACAAUUGUUGUUCAAUCCAGAGUGGUCUUUCAAAUGUGUUGAAUUGCUAAUGCAAAUUAAUAUCUCAGAAAUCCAACCAGCCUGCUCCUCUUUCCUAAGGACAUCCUUUGAGGGCUGGACAAUGUGGUUACAAACCCAACUACACCUCAGGAACAGAAUAAGAAGGGAUCUAACUGGUAUAUUAGGGACAGGAUUGGGAGUUUUAAAUGGAAUUGAUUCAGAAAUACUGAUGAACAAGCUGGCCACUGCAGCAAGUGGUCUAGCAAAAUUGAAACAGCCCUUACAGUCAUUGCUAUUGCCAUUAGGAACUAGCCAGUGGCAGAUUUCAAAAGUACUGCCAAAGUGGGAAAAGGCCGGGGACCAUGACCACAGGUUAAUAGUAGAAGCACUUAGUAUGGUUCAAGAUAAUGUGUCUUUAGCUUUCAGUUGUAUACAAGCACAGUUAUGGAUGCAAGCAACAGCAGCUUUGAUCAUACGGUAAGGGGGUGAAGGUGAUUUCCCAGCUGAAAUUCAAAAGAUUGUCUGAGAUAAUGCGAUUGAUUUUGAAAGAAAGUUUCAGUCCUGGUGGACUAUGGUAAAUUUGACCUAUGAUCCUGCUUCUAAUGUGGCCACUGCCUUUGUGCUUACUAUAUGUAAUGCCACUGUUUAUGUUAUCCACCCCAUCAUUACACUAGGAGUAAAUAAUGAAAAAAUGGUGCUCUACCCUUCAGAACAUAAAGUGUGGGCACGAAAGGUGAAUGAAAAGUGGCAAACAGUAAACUUAGAAUCUUGUGUUACUAGAGAACAACUAGGAUUCAUUUGUAAAAGCAAUACUAUUAAUGCUCAAGAUGUGUGUCUUGACACCGAACAAAAUAUUUGCCACAUCGAGAUUCAUCCAGUCACUGAUUAGAAAACUGUGCUUGUAUAUACUGGUAAAGGUUGUGUAUGCUUGAGAACUGCUUGUGCUAUUGUAAAAAUCGAUAACAAUGAUGUUAUUUUGCCUUGUAGAAAUCAUUCUAAUUUUCAUAUUUGUAAUUUUGUUAAGAUUUCGGGUGUGAUUUUUCGUAUUUGGGCCCCGUGACAUCCCACCAGCUGAUCAAAACCAAUUGCACAAUGUAUCACAGACUAUCACCUACUCCUAUUGGAAUGGACCUCACAUUGGUGAAACAAUUAAUUAAACACCAAGAUCUAUUAGAGAUCUUGAAGAAAAUCCAAGAAAGUGGAGAGAAAACCCUAAUUACUGUCCAACAUGAUACAAAAGAAAUAACCAGAAUUCUGCAAAGAAUAAAACAAAAUGCAGAUCAUCACUGGUGGGAUGCAAUCUUUGGAUAGUCACCAACUGCAAAUGGGAUCUUAAAUAUCUUGUGUCACCCUAUUGUAGUUGUAUUGAUAUUAGUUGGAGUAAGUUUAGGGUUAUCUUUUUUAUUGCUAAUUUGGAAUUGGAGAAUACUGCAGUGAGUGGCUGUGUUAACCUCCUUAUCAAAUGUACAUGGUAAAGCAUUAAGGGACACCUAUUAUGGUAGGGAUUUGUAUUAAGUUAAAUAAUUUACUUUUACUUUUCUAGGAAAGGGGGGAAUGAAACAGAGUGGAAAUUUAACAGGGUAGAAAUCCAUUUCAGAUUUUGGCGAAAUGUGCCAUUUUGAAUUACUUAGCCUGUAGCCUGCUUGCAUAGAUGAAAUAUUCUGUUUUAACUUUUUUAGUCUGUUAACUCUGCUGUGCUCAAGACUGCCUGUUCUUGCAAAAAGCCGGUGCUGGUAAAACUGCCUCAGCCAAGGAAAAAGAAUGCGAACUUCCAAGCUAAAAGGAAGAUAAGGGGGGGCCCUUGAACUUUGAAACAAAGACGAGAGCCAAAGCUGAGGCUUCGAGAGAUGGACAGGGUGACCAGAGAGUUCUCUCUCUACAAGGACUGAUAAGAACUAGUUGCAAGUUGUAAUGCAAAACCAGUAAAAUGAAUAUGCAUUAACCUAUUGUGAAACUCUAUGCAUAUGUACAAGUAAGGGGGAUAAAAAAGGUUCAGGAAUUCUCAGGGGUGCAUGUGUCCUUUGGGGGGAAUGAUCCCCACAUGGGUUCAGUGCUGGACUAAACAUACUGUCUUUACAACUUUUACAAGUUGUGGAGUUAGUUUUUUUCCUCAAAUCAGUCAGGUGCUGCCAUAGUGACAAGCCGACCCUCCCAAAUGUCCCAAACCCAGGCAGUCCCCUGAUAAAAACGCAAGGGGGUAAAUCAUAGCUAUAAAUAUAUAGAACUUUUCUUAACAUAUAUACAUGAUAUUUGCAUUUGAAUGUGAGAGUCAAUCAUCACAUUACUCAUCUAUCACAGUGGGAAGGGUGAAUUCAGCUCACAUCUUCACCGCAUGGUUGAGAAGGUCCCAAGAUAUCUAGCUACAAGACCUUUUAAGGAUUUAUUAACAAAUAAAACACUGCCAACAAAGAUAUUUAUGUUUUUGACCCAAUCCUUAAAUAAUUUGUCUUAUGGACUCAUGCUACAGUGUAAGCUUUCUUAGCCAAUCAUGUUAUGACACACAAACCUACAGUACUGUACUCUAAAAGUCUAAACUUUCCUCUACUUAGCUUAAUGUGUCUCUACUUUAAACUAUAAAUCCACAUUCUCAUUUUUUGCACCUAAGUUUGGAAGCCUUUUCCAAGGUCUUCGAUCAAAUCCUGUGAUUAAUUCUAAGCUUUGGCUUACAGGCCCAAAGUUUUGAGAGUUCCUUGCAUUUCAGAUUCCAACACUAUACAAAGCAGUUAAAAGUCAGUAUAAGUUGUACUAUAUCAAAAUACUUGUGAUGCAAAAAGCUAAUCUAACAAUGUGAAAGCCAAUAUUAUAUUAUCAUCUAUAACACAACGAUAUGGGAAAAGGAAUUACACUUCUUUACUAGUAUGUAUAUGUAUGUCAGGCAAAUCCACAAAUGCCAGAGAUUUAUUCUAGCCAUGAUAUUUUAUGAAAAAUCCUUUGCUAGGAUUUUUCCCUCCUGAGAAGCUGAGGAGCCUCAGGAAAGAAACGUAAACAAUAACUAUCUGCUGCUGUGGAAUGCAACAGGUGCAUCUUCCAUUGGUCCAUUGGCCUGCUGCUGUGCUGCUGUCCCCGGGAGCUGCAGGAGCUGCCUCGGUGCCUGCUCUCUCUGCAUCGCCGCUGGCAAUUGAUUUCGCAACGGUGCAGGCAGCGCCGGGGCGGGCGGACCCUGUGCCAGUCCCGCCGCCCCCGGCGAUCCUGCCGCUCCCAGCCAACCCGAUUGCAGUGCAAGAGCAUGCAGAGACCGGCGCUGAGUCCGCGAGAUUGUCUCAAGAGCCGAUCCCGGCACCUGUGUCGCCCUCGCCAGACACCCUGGCUAUCCCGCCGCAUUCCGGAGCUCCGUCCUUCGCAUCAGCGUCUGCGUCUGAGCCUGCGCUGGAACCGGCAGCAUCUGAGUUCGCCAGACCGCCCCGAGCCGUCUGCCCCUGGGGCUGCGGCUGGGACCUCAGAGCCAGCAACUGGCCUGUCCCUCCGUGGAGGGGGCGUGGCUCAACACAUGAUUGCGGUUUUUGUUUCAGAAUUCUGCAAGCCUGUUUCAGGACCAAAGGGGACUUCCAGAGAUGUCAAAAAGGAACAUCUUCAGUCCAUGGACUCUGUCCUGAAAUUCAGCUGUUUGGACUUGAAACAAUGAACAUUCUUUGUGUGAGUUUUUUGCAUUUUCUUAUAUUUUAAGAUUGUUUUAGUGAUAUGAUAGAAUUUGAUGUUCUACAGGUGAAGAAUUUACCUGACCAUUCCACAUCAGCAGUUGAUUGAGGUUUUGAUUGGUAACAGAUGAACCUCAAGAGGUGUUUGUUCUCUCUUCUGCAAGGGCCCAGUAGAAGAAAUUACAAACACUCAUUUUUCUAUUUAAUUUAAUAAAUUUAAAAGGGUGAGAUGUAGCCAUGAUAUUUUAUUAAAAAUCCUUUGCUAGGAUUUUUCCCUCCUGGGAACCUGAGGAGCCUCAGGAAAGAAACGUAAACAAUAACUAUCUGCUGCUGUGGAAUGCAACAGGUGCAUCUUCCAUUGGUCCACGUGGAUUGUUUCCAAUUGAUGACCAAUCACACCCACCUGUGUCGAGGCUGUGGGCAGUCACAAGAUUUUAUUAUGCAUUCUAUUCUUGUUCUUUCUAGCUUUCUGGUGAAUCUUUUCUCUCUGUUCUUUUAGUAUGGUUUUAAUGUAGCAUUUUAAUAUAAUAUAUAUCAUAAUAUAAUAAACAAGCCUUCUGAGGACAUGAAGUCCAGACUCGCAUCUCCACAUAUGGGGCACCAGACACAACAAUUUAUGUCCAAAAAGGAGACAGAGGAGUUAUUCAAUUUUAUUUUUUUAUUUGAAUAAAGGGAGAAAGUCUACCAGGGCACACUCCCGCGGGGUUUUCCCACUCUCAGAGUUUCAGAGGGCGCAGCCUCCUUUUAUCCUAAACUCAUGUUGCCCUAUUCCUUUCCCCCUUGGCAGAGGUACUAGAAAGGUACAGGCUUCCUGAACUGCCUUCCACAUAUUCCUCCCUUAAACCUACUGUUUUCCCCAAAGUUCAGAAGUUCAGCCUUGUGCAGAGCCUUGUCUGUUCCAGGAGUCAAACUGUCUGGGCCCAGUAACAAACUUGCUGCCCAAACUCAGUAGAGACAUUAACACCCAUUUCAAAGACAUUAACACCCAUACCUUCACCAAUCAAAUUAUUUGUAAAGACAUUAGCACACAUCUUUCCUCUCAACCCCUCCUCUUCUUAUUUCUCAAUUUGUCUUUACAAACCCUAGUUAUUAUUAGCUUAACCCUUUUUAACAACCCAGAACAUUUGAAACACCCCAAAACAUUUAAAAUAUCCCCUCAUCUCUGCACCAGCUGUGCCAAGUGUUAUAAAUACAUAUUAUAAUAUUGGCUUUUUGCAAAUAUUAAAAUGGAUGCUAUAUGUAUAAUGUUAAAGUAACUUUGCUAUAAUUUUUUUUCUUCUUUCUGUUAGACAUAGUAGUGAAAUAGCUGAUAUAGUAUGCUUGUGUUAAACUGCCUGCUUGGUUGGGAUAACAUUCAAUGAACAUAGGAUGAAGACCUUUGCCAAACUAUCUAUACCCACCAUCUGGACCAAAGCCCAAACUGGAGGUAAUAACAAGAACGGACUAAAACCACCGCCAAGAAACGUGCAUGCUCUAAAAAGGCGGAUCUGAGAAGGAGCUGUUAAAAAUGUGGUUAGUAAUUAGUGGAAAUAAAAGAUGUAUCAAAUAUAUAUGUAUAAAAUAAAUGGCUGGUACACAGAAGGGGGGGGGGGGGAGAAAUUCUUCCCCAGGAUGUCGAAACCGCGGCAGAUGGGCAGAGAGGCACCACAACAUUUACAUGCGAAGGAAACGUUGGCUGCAAAGGAGAUGGGCAUUCACAGAAACAUGCACCCAGUGACGCCCAAGCGAUGAUGGUCCAGACAAGAUACCCAUCUGAGAUGACCAGAGCCAUCAACACCUUCCACCUGAAUGCAAGAUUCCGGGAAUCAGGGAAGUGUAUCAUUCUAUUCCCGGAUGAAGGCUUUGUGCAGCCCGAGCCAAAGAAAGAAACCAACUUGAAUAUGAAGAACUCAGAAAGAAACAAAGAGACUCUGCCGUGGGCAAAAUAAACUGUAUAAGAACCGCUGCCUCAGAGCAGCCAGUGUGGACGGGGAAGAAUUGGUGCUAGCGAGACCGAUCUCGUGUCCACCCAGCUCACCUCCCGGGGGUGGUACACUGUGCGAUUUAUUGGUGGCUGUCGGGACUGUAUUACGGUCGUGAAAUAAAUUCUAUUUAAAUUUUUUUAUUAAAAUUGGCUAUUUUUCAUUUUUCAUUUAUAACAGAGCCAUGCUAAACAGUUCUUGGAACAUGUAAACUAGUUUGGAGAAAAGUUUAAAUAUACAUAAUUGUUUAUGAAUAUGCAAUGGGCUGAUGCAAGAGAAAAGGUAUUGUGAAAAACUCAUAUAAUAUGAUUGGCUUUUUGCAAAUAUUAAAAUGAACACUAUAUGUGUUAUGAUGGAAAGUUAUUUUGCAUUAAUCUUGUUUUUGUAGUACUGUACUAAUCUUUUUAAGAAGUGUGGUGAGGCUACAGAAACUAUGUGAUGUAAGAUACUUUUUCUAACUAACUCAAGGAGAGAUAACAGUAACAAGACACCAAAAACCCAAGAGAAGAAUUGAAUUAUUGCCUCCUUAUCAGGAAGAACCAGACUUUGAGGGAUCAAAACGAUUGCUUCACAAGAUGGGGGGCGGGGUUGACAAUGACCAGAGAACACCCUUUGUUUGAAAAUAAUUUUUGCAUUAUGUAUGAGAUAUAUGAAUAUGCAACAGGGUAUUGUUUUUAAGAGUUAAUCUUUUUUUAGUGGGUGUGCUUUUCCGGGCUUAAUUUGCUCAGGAAUGCACCCAGAUUAUUUGAAAGUCUUUGUUUUUAUUGUCCUUUAUUGUUCUAACUCUGAUUGUCCAAAUUCUUAUUACUAUAAUUUUUAUUAUUAUUUUUAUAAGCACUUUAUUGCUAUUAAACUUUUAAAAUUUUAAGACAAGUGAUUGGU